rnacentral:rRNA from 1 species
GACGAACGCUGGCGGCGUGCUUAACACAUGCAAGUCGAACGGAAAGGCCCUGCUUUUGUGGGGUGCUCGAGUGGCGAACGGGUGAGUAACACGUGAGUAACCUGCCCUUGACUUUGGGAUAACUUCAGGAAACUGGGGCUAAUACCGGAUAGGAGCUCCUGCUGCAUGGUGGGGGUUGGAAAGUUUCGGCUGUUGGGGAUGGACUCGCGGCUUAUCAGCUUGUUGGUGGGGUAGUGGCUUACCAAGGCUUUGACGGGUAGCCGGCCUGAGAGGGUGACCGGCCACAUUGGGACUGAGAUACGGCCCAGAAUCCUACGGGAGGCAGCAGUGGGGAAUAUUGCACAAUGGGCGGAAGCCUGAUGCAGAAACGCCGCGUGCGGGAUGACGGCCUUCGGGUUGUAAACCGCUUUCGCCUGUGACGAAGCGUGAGUGACGGUAAUGGGUAAAGAAGCACCGGCUAACUACGUG